GAUGAACGUUGGCGGUGUGCCUAAUACAUGCAAGUCGAACGGAGACUGUAGCAAUACUGUCUUAGUGGCGAACGGGUGAGUAACGCGUUGGUGAUCUGCCUCGAAGUGUGGAAUAACCUCCCGAAAGGGAAGCUAAUACCGCAUAGUCUCUCAAGGUUUAGAAAAUUGAGAGUAAAGGAUUUAUUCGCUUCGAGAGGAGCCUGCGUCCCAUCAGCUAGUUGGUAGGGUAACGGCCUACCAAGGCAAUGACGGGUAGGGGACCUGAGAGGGUCGGUCCCCCACACUGGUACUGAGACACGGACCAGACUCCUACGGGAGGCAGCAGUGAGGAAUAUUGGUCAAUGGGCGCAAGCCUGAACCAGCCAUCCCGCGUGCAGGAAGACGGCCCUAUGGGUUGUAAACUGCUUUUCCAGGGAGAGAAACUUACGCACGUGUUGCGUGACUGACGGUACCCUGGGAAUAAGCAUCGGCUAACUCCGUG
rnacentral:rRNA from 1 species